rnacentral:misc_RNA from 1 species
ACAUUUAAUCAUCCCUUGUUUUACUUUAGAUAAUGUGAAGUACUAUGGGGAGCCAAGGCCUGACUAUGAGUUUAAUGUUUGGACACAUCCAGACUGUCAUGGGACAGAGUUUGAGAAUGGAAAUAGGUUUGUAUGUGUAGGGAUGAUAAAAUAAGGAGGCGACAUGAAAUUUCUUACAAUUGGAAGCAAAAAUUGAUCAGAAGAAUGGAUUGAAAAACACCUCGGUUCCAAUGUUUAUAAUUUUUUUUUUUUUAUUUACAACUAUAAUUUAUUAAAGCUAAUGGUAGAUUCUGUUAUGAACACACAGAAUGAAUGUAGCUUACAAGUACUUACCAUUUAUUUUACAACUGCUAUAUUUGCUUGCUUAGAAGGACUUGUGGGAUGGCAAAUUUUCAGUAAUAAAAGAAAAGAGAAGAAAUGCUAUGAAUGCUACAUGCGUGACGAUUGAAACAACUAUUGCUUUAUCUUUUGCAGAUCCUGGUUUUAUUUCGGCAUCAGGGGAUGGGCACCGAAUCGCCUGAUUAAGAUCAACAUCAUGAAUCUGAACCGACAGGGCAAGCUGUACAGCCAGGGUCACUCUCCAUUCACCAAGACGGUCCCUGGCAAACCGAGGUGGGAGAGGAUUAGAGACAGGCCCUCGUAUGAGGUAAGUAUGUUCUGAUUAAGUCCAUCUAUUGAUAUGAAAAAAAGAUUCCUAAAAUCAUGAGAAGCACCACUCGCAAAUUUUUAAAAAAUAUUGCUUUUAUUUUUCUGACAGUUGUGAAAAAAUAUGAAAUUGU